rnacentral:rRNA from 1 species
AUUGAACGCUGGCGGCAUGCUUUACACAUGCAAGUCGAGCGGCAGCGCGGGGCAACCUGGCGGCGAGUGGCGAACGGGUGAGUAAUAUAUCGGAACGUACCCAGAAGUGGGGGAUAACGUAGCGAAAGUUACGCUAAUACCGCAUACGAUCUACGGAUGAAAGUGGGGGAUCGCAAGACCUCAUGCUUUUGGAGCGGCCGAUAUCUGAUUAGCUAGUUGGUAGGGUAAAGGCCUACCAAGGCGACGAUCAGUAGCUGGUCUGAGAGGGCGACCAGCCACACUGGGACUGAGACACGGCCCAGACUCCUACGGGAGGCAGCAGUGGGGAAUUUUGGACAAUGGGCGCAAGCCUGAUCCAGCAAUGCCGCGUGAGUGAAGAAGGCCUUCGGGUUGUAAAGCUCUUUUGUCAGGGAAGAAACGGCCGAGGCUAAUACCUUUGGCUAAUGACGGUACCUGAAGAAUAAGCACCGGCUAACUACGUG